UACGUAGGGUGCAAGCGUUAUCCGGAAUUAUUGGGCGUAAAGAGUCCGUAGGUGGUUUAGCAAGUCUACUGUCAAAGCCCGCAGCUUAACUGCGGAGAGGCGGUGGAAACUGUUGAACUAGAGUGUGGUAGGGGUAGAGGGAAUUCCCAGUGUAGCGGUGAAAUGCGUAGAUAUUGGGAAGAACACCGGUGGCGAAAGCGCUCUACUGGACCACAACUGACACUGAGGGACGAAAGCCAAGGUAGCGAAAGGG
rnacentral:rRNA from 1 species